rnacentral:misc_RNA from 1 species
GAUGAAGAACGCAGCGAAAUGCGAUAAGUAAUGUGAAUUGCAGAAUUCAGUGAAUCAUCGAAUCUUUGAACGCACAUUGCGCCCGCCAGUAUUCUGGCGGGCAUGCCUGUUCGAGCGUCAUUUCAACCAUCAAGCCCCCGGCUUGUGUUGGGGACCUGCGGCUGCCGCAGGCCCUGAAAACCAGUGGCGGGCUCGCUAGUCACUCCGAGCGUAGUAAUACAUCUCGCUCAGGGCGUGCUGCGGGUUCCGGCCGUUAAAAAGCCUUAUUUACCCAAGGUUGACCUCGGAUCAGGUAGGAAGACCCGCUGAACUUAAGCAUAUAAAUAAGCGGAGGA